rnacentral:tRNA from 4 species
GGUAGCGUGUCCGAGCGGCCGAAGGUGCAACACUCGAAAUGUUGUGUGCAGUGACCCUGCACCGUGGGUUCAAAUCCCACCGCUACCGCCA